GCAGUCGUGGCCGAGUGGUUAAGGUGAUGGACUAGAAAUCCAUUGGGAUCUUCCCGCGUAGGUUCGAAUCAUUCCGACAGCG
rnacentral:tRNA from 1 species